CUCUAAGCGUUGCCUCCCCUCCGCCCAGCCCUAUCGCCUCCACGCGAGUCCAGCGCCUGUCGCAUUCUAGGUCCCUCUCUCUCCGCCGCCCUUGACGCGCUCCUCUCUCCGUCGCCCUCGACAGAUCGAGCAGAGGAAGAAGAGUUGUUCCGCACAAGGCCUUGGUCGUGCCGGUCGCCGCAACCGCCCCCAAGGACGCCCGUGACUUUGGCCUUGGGAGCUCGGUCUACUAGGCCUGGAUCCGGGCGGCGGCAGAGGUGGCCCCGACCCCCACGCCUCCACAUGGGGAAGAGGAGGAAGAAGGCUUAGCGCGCUACAUCUCCAUCAAGGCCUACUUCCUGUUCAUCAGCAUGGGAGCGACGUGGUAAAUCCAUCCACCUGGUCGCUAAACUACAUUACGCUCUGCUACUCUGAAUUCGCUCCAGAGAUCAUUGAAUCAUGCUUUUGGGAUGGCAACCGGAGAUGAGGAACGGGUAUGUCCAUGAUAUUCACCAGUUGGUCUGUUAUUGUGGAAACUGCUGAUUAUGCAGUAGUUGAGAAGCCAUGCCAGAUAACUUGGAUGAAAGGAGGUCUUGAUUAUAUAGUUCUUAAAAGUUUAGACGCAGAUGGAAUUCACAUCAUUUCAAGUGUUCCUGGUCAGAGCAUCGGUCUUGAUCAUUACAUACGGCAGGUUGAUGAUAUGGUUGAGGAAUUUACUGAAACCAAUCUUAUGAUGGAGAAGACUGGGGACUUCACAAUGAAAAUAAAGAAGCUCUUUCGACUUAUGGGCAAGGCUAAUUCUAAUCUUGCAGAUGUUAUCAUUAGAUUUUGCACACUGUGAGACUAUUACCCCCUGUUGCAGAUGUUUCUCCACCCACACCAGCAAAGGCCGCUCGCCACUGCCGUCGCAAGCAAGUGUUGCCCCACUGUUUCCUCACGCCAAAGACUGAAGCAUCGCCGCUGCUGUCUCUUUGCGCACCGCAGACGUGCAUCGACCCGCAAUUCUUUUUUCACGCGCCGAAGACCCAAAAUGUGGAGCUCAACAGGUUACUCGAAAUCCUGGUAUUGGCCAUCUAUGUGCAGUUCCACCAUCUGUUAUGAACAGAAAACUGAGGUGACUUGUGAUUUCUGAAUCUGCGGAGGGAAUUAGAAAAACCUUAAGAGGAAGUUGGAGACAGUGUUUAAGUAUACUGCCAUCAACCUGAUCGAUAUGUUUCUCCUUGCAUUUGCUCCAUUACAUGAACUAUAAAUCCAGCAAUGAUGAUAGAAGAGAUAAAUAGUAAACGUACUUGAUUUUCAUUUGUAGAUGCUUUUGACUUUUAUAAGUUUCAUAAAAUAUUUUGUCCAUCAAAUUCUAUGUUUCUUAUAGACAUGAAAAAUGAUAUGCAACUGUCGAAAGAAGAGUGCUGUGACCGUGGAGAGUGAAGACAGUGGAAGAAGGUGGGAACCACAUGUUCAUUGCAACACUUUGCUACUUACCAUUUGCAUGUGGAGGAUGCUCCCAGGUGAUUGCGAAAGCAUGCCAAUUACCAUUUGCAGCUACUGCGUGAAGUGGCAGCUCGUGAGCCGGAUCGACAAUGGAUCAAUUAGUAGUGUCGCCAUCCUUGGUUCUGAAGCAAUUCGUGAGGCGUCUCCUGCCAUAACAAUCUGGUUCUUACCUGGGUAUUGUCUACUGAGACGCCAUGUUGCUAGCUAAGUAUAAACACUGGGUUAUCUCCAAUCAUGCGUUGCAGCUUCUACCAUCCUCCUUUUUUUGGCAUAUUAGACACUCAGUAUACUUAUUCAUAUUGAUAUAUACUUUUAAGUAUAAGAAGCUGACAUGUGAACCAACAACGCUACCAUCCUCUUUUUUUUAGCAUAUUAGACACUCAGUAUACUUAAUGCUGACAUGUGAACCAACAACGCAAGAUGAACACAAUUAUUAGUGCAAGAUACUUUGAUCAAUAAUUUCUGUCAUCGGCCGUGCACUAAUUUAGACAUAUUCUGUUUUUCGAAAGCAACUCAUCCCAAAAUUUUUAGCUGAGCCGCAUUGCGUUUUUAUCCUGAAUCUCCGUCAUCGAUUAUUUUUUCAAAGAUUUAUUGCAUUUAUGGGACACAUUUACUCCAUUUUAAUUCAAUUUACCAUAUAUUAAUCCACUUCAAUUAGCAACAAGAUUCCAAGCUGAAACUAUUGCGGUAUGGGCUGGUACGCGACUCCCAUUUUCCCAUUAUUGAUUUUUUCACAAUGGAUACAUUCGAGAAUUGCAUUUUAAACUCAAGUUUCAGCAAUUAUUUUUAGCAGAAAUACAGUGAUCUAUAUCAAACAAUCUCUCUGUUUUAGUAAUGUUAUGAGACAUCAGAGAGCAGAUGGCAUGUCACAUCACCAGUAAAUGUGGCAACCAUACUAAAUCAUCGAUGGUUUCUAAUUUUGGAUAUUGAAACAAUGCUAUUUUCUCGAGUAUAGUAUGAUAGUACUACUAAUUAAUCCAUUUUCUGUUUGUAAGCUAUCUUGAUAUUUCUUAGCUAUUUUGAUGUUUCGGUUGGCAGAAAAUAUCACUGUAGUACUGCUUGAGAAGAUGUAAGUGUGGGAGAUUGUGGUUUCAAAUCAGAGAAUUGUGGUUUCGAAGUUAUUUGUAAAAGGUACUCCCUAUGUCCCAUAAUAUAAGAACGUUUUUCAAGCCAUGUUAGCUUGAAAAACAAUCUUAUAUUGUUGGAUGGCGGGAGUAAUUUAUAUUUAUCUUAAGGUUACUAACAUACUUCUUAUGAACUUUAUUUUUUUUUCUUCAUUAUCAUAUGGGCCAAGAUGUUCUGAUUAUGCUGCAUCUAGAACGUCUACGAAGAGAUUAACCAUCUGAAGACUCUGUCACCUGGUUUUAUUUUAAAUGAAGUUGUGUGUGUGCGUGCGUGCGUGCGUGUGCGCGCGCGCGCGUGAGCAAUAAAUUUGUGCAUGAACUAAUGACGUUGUUAAGAGUUUUGGUGUUUGUAAAAUUGGUUGGUUAGGUGAA